rnacentral:rRNA from 1 species
AUUGAACGCUGGCGGCAGGCCUAACACAUGCAAGUCGAACGGUAGCACAGAGAGCUUGCUCUCGGGUGACGAGUGGCGGACGGGUGAGUAAUGUCUGGGAAACUGCCCGAUGGAGGGGGAUAACUACUGGAAACGGUAGCUAAUACCGCAUAACGUCGCAAGACCAAAGUGGGGGACCUUCGGGCCUCACACCAUCGGAUGUGCCCAGAUGGGAUUAGCUAGUAGGUGGGAUAAUGGCUCACCUAGGCGACGAUCCCUAGCUGGUCUGAGAGGAUGACCAGCCACACUGGAACUGAGACACGGGCCAGACUCCUACGGGAGGCAGCAGUGGGGAAUAUUGCACAAUGGGCGCAAGCCUGAUGCAGCCAUGCCGCGUGUAUGAAGAAGGCCUUCGGGUUGUAAAGUACUUUCAGCGGGGAGGAAGGCGGUGAAGUUAAUAGCUUCACCGAUUGACGUUACCCGCAGAAGAAGCACCGGCUAACUCCGUGCCAGACGCCGCCGUAA